rnacentral:lncRNA from 1 species
CGCGUCGUGUUGCUCGCUGAAAUCUUCUGGCUGGCCCGGCAAGUGGCGCCCAGCGUGGGGCUCGACAAAAGUUCCUUGCGGCCGCUGCCUGUUGAAACUAUUAAGAAUGCCGAAGCGCCGCGCUGGCUCCCAGAAAGGUUGGUACGCGCGGUGGAGGCGAUCGCUGGUGGAACAAAUGAGAUGACUUACGAUCCAGGAGACAGCCCCGCUACCAACAGCCCAGCAGAUACAGGCGCUGUUACAAAUGGCGUGUGAGAAUUCUCCGAAUCUUCCCACCGCUUCGCCUACUAAUAUAUUGAUUUCUCUAUUACUUCUUUUAAACCAGAAUGCCAGCAUUUCUUAUACGGGACCCUCUUCACAAUUACCAAUGUGCUUUUUCUGAAAUCAUAAUGUUU